UACAGAGGUCUCAAGCGUUGUUCGGAUUCAUUGGGCGUAAAGGGUGCGUAGGUGGCGAGGCAAGUCUGGUGUGAAAGCCCCGGGCUUAACCUGGGAAUGGCCAUGGAAACUGGCGAACUGGAGUGUGGCAGAGGGGGGUGGAAUUCCGCGUGUAGCAGUGAAAUGCGUAGAGAUGCGGAGGAACACCGAUGGCGAAGGCAGCCCCCUGGGCUGACACUGACGCUCAGGCACGAAAGCGUGGGGAGCAAACAGG
rnacentral:rRNA from 1 species